rnacentral:lncRNA from 1 species
GUUUAUUUAAUAUCAUUGGAAGUUUUUGUUAUUGUACUUAAUAUGGGAGUGAUUCGUUUGAAAUGCCACUUAGGAGCUCACAGUCCACUGGGGAAGAGAAGCAGUUAGCAAAGCAUUCUAAUACAAUGUGGAAAGUCGAUAAUAGAGAGAGGAAUAAAGCGUCUUGGCUACAUUAAGAAGGGAAUACUAACCCUGCCUGAGGGAGCCUAGAAGGACUUCACUGAGGAAAUAACAUAUGCAUUAAUCCUUGAAGAAUGAGCAAUAAGUAGCCUACCAGGCAGAUAAUUUCAUUUAAAAAAAAAGAUUUUAUGCAUGGAGAGAGAAACACCAAAAUUAUGAAAAUGCAAGAGAGAAUAGCAUGUCUGGAGACUAAUAUCCUACAAACUUCAUCACAUGGUGAUGUGAAUAGUGAAAGAGAUUAUAGGAUUCUUCAGACUUCUGAUAGUGUCCAGAUUACUUCCAGUUGUAAGUAAUUUCCAGCAGAAUCUACAGCAUUUAUUCUC